rnacentral:rRNA from 1 species
CGGGCGGCAGCAGCAGUGGGGAAUAUUGGGCAAUGGGCGCAAGCCUGACCCAGCAACGCCGCGUGAGGGAAGAAUGUCUUCGGAUUGUAAACCUCUGUCCUUGGGGACGAAAAAAAUGACGGUACCCAAGGAGGAAGCUCCGGCUAACUACGUGCCAGCAGCCGCGGUAAUACGUAGGGAGCAAGCGUUGUCCGGAAUUAUUGGGCGUAAAGGGUGCGUAGGCGGCGCUGUAAGUCAGAUGUGAAAUCCCCGGGCUUAACUCGGGAGUUGCAUUUGAAACUACAGUGCUUGAGUAAAGAAGGGGUAAGUGGAAUUCCUAGUGUAGCGGUGGAAUGCGUAGAUAUUAGGAGGAACACCAGUGGCGAAGGCGACUUACUGGUCUUUUACUGACGCUGAGGCACGAAAGCGUGGGGAGCAAACAGGAUUAGAUACCCCGGUAGUC